rfam:Alicyclobacillus acidocaldarius subsp. acidocaldarius DSM 446, complete genome.
GGGGGUAUAGCUCAGUUGGGAGAGCACCUGCCUUGCAAGCAGGGGGUCGUCGGUUCGAAUCCGGCUACCUCCA